rnacentral:rRNA from 1 species
AUUGAACGCUGGCGGCAGGCCUAACACAUGCAAGUCGAACGAGUGGCGGACGGGUGAGUAAUGUCUGGGAAACUGCCCGAUGGAGGGGGAUAACUACUGGAAACGGUAGCUAAUACUGCAUAUCAUCGGAUGGGCUCUGAUGGGAUUAGCUAGUGGGUGGGGUAACGGCUCACCUAGGCGACGAUCCCUAGCUGGUCUGAGAGGGUGACCAGCCACACUGGAACUGAGACACGGCCCAGACUCCUACGGGAGGCAGCAGUGGGGAAUAUUGCACAAUGGGCGCAAGCCUGAUGCAGCCAUGCCGCGUGUAUGAAGAAGGCCUUCGGGUGGUAAAAUACUUUCAGCGGGGAGGCGGUACUCGACGAAGAAGCAACGGCUAACUACGUGCCAGCAGCCGCGGUAAUAC